rnacentral:rRNA from 1 species
UGUACAAGUUCAUGCCCCUAGUAACUGGGCGAAACCGCGAAUGGCUCAUUAAAACAGUCAUAAUCUAUUUGAUGUUCAAAGUUAUAUGGAUAACUGUGGUAAUUCUAGAGCUAAUACAUGCACAAAAUAAGCAACUGUUUGGCAACAAGCAGAAGCUUAGCGUUUAUUAGACUAAGACCAAUGGCGUCGCGCAAGCGUCGUCAACUAUUGAUGGUGACUCUGAGUAAAUAAUGGGUGAAAGCCCAUGAUGCAGACCCCUAACUCAAAGCCAGCUUGGUCACUCUUGCUGGUUGGGGGCAAUUCAUUCGAGUGUCUGCUCUAUCAACUGUGGAUGGUAGGUUAUAUGCCUACCAUGGUGGUAACGGGUAACGGGGAGUUAGGGCUCGACUCCGGAGAACAAGCCUGAGAAACGGCUAGUAGGACUAAGGUCUGCAGCAGGCGCGAAACUUACACAAUGGGAGCACGUCCCUGAUGUAGUGAAGGAAAAUAACGAUGUAUCUCUCAUUACUGAGUGAUACAAUUGGAAUGAGACGACUGUAAAUAUGUUAGUCGAGUAACAAAUGGAGGGCAAGUCUGGUGCCAGCAGCCGCGGUAAUUCCAGCUCCAUUAGCGUAUAUUAAAGUUGUUGCGGUUAAAAAGCUCGUAGUUGAAAUUAGCUUGCGCUCUCACUGCUCGUAGCCGCUAAAAGAUCUUCGGAUUUUGGUUGCGUUUGGCAGUUUGUGAGCGCAAUGUUUCGUCACUUAAAUUCGAGUGCGAAGCGUAACGUUAUAGCGAAAAUUUGUAAUGAAUUUGGAUAUGGCGUUGUGUUUACCUUGAGAAAAUUAGAGUGCUCACAGCAGGCAUUUUGGGUGUAAAAGCCCUUAUUCGCCUGAAUAAUGUUGCAUGGAAUAAUAGAAUACGGCCUCGGUUCUAUUCUGUUGGUCUUAUAGAACAACAAACAAGUUGGUGGAUGCAUAUACGGUAUUAGAAUACAAUUGGUUUAGUAGCUGCUUGCCGGUAGUGUUGCCUGGAUGGUAAAAAGUUUAGUGCCGCACCGGAUUGUAGUGUAUUGCUGCUUUGCUAUUUUAAAGUUGUUUCUAUUGCUAGCAACAGCCAACUGAGGCAAUGGUUAAAAGAAAUAGUCGCGGCGGCAUCAGUACUGCAUCGCUAGAGGUGAAAUUCUUAGACCGAUGCAAGACUAACUGAAGCGAAAGCGUUUGCCGAGGAUGUUUUCAUUAAUCAAGAACGAAAGUUAGAGGUUCGAAGGCGAUCAGAUACCGCCCUAGUUCUAACCAUAAACGUUGCCAACUAGCAAUUGGCCUGAAUUCUAUUUUAACAAAUUGAAUGAUUCGGCCAGCGGCUUUAGGGAAACCAAAGUCUUUGGGUUCCGGGGGAAGUAUGAUUGCAAAGUUGAAACUUAAAGGAAUUGACGGAAGGGCACCACCAGGAGUGGAGCCUGCGGCUUAAUUUGACUCAACACGGGGAAACUUACUAGAUUAGAACACAGGAAUGAUUGACAGAUUGAUAGCUCUUUCUUGAUUCUGUGAGUGGUGGUGCAUGGCCGUUCUUGAUUCGUAGAUUGAUUCGUCUGCUUAAUUGCGAUAACGAGUGAGACCUCAGUUUACUAACUAGUCGUUUGGUGCAUCUUUGACGCAAAAGUCUGGCUUGAGUUGGUCGUGGUGUUGGGAGCUGUAACAGGUUUCUCAGCUGCGUGCUUAGCUCUUGUUGGAUGUCUUUGACUCGCCGGCGGACUUCUUAGAAAGAUAAACGGUGUUUUAGCCGUAAGAAACGAGGCAAUAACAGGUCUGUGAUGCCCUUAGAUACUCUAGGCCGCACGCGUGCUACAAUGGUAUGCGCAGAAAGCUUAUUCGAUAUCCGGCUAGAGAGAACUACUGGUUUUGGUUAGUUUGGGCGCAAGUUUGAGCUAAUCGGACUGGCAAGUGACUCUGGUUUACGGGUUGAGAGAAACCUCAGCUGAAAAGUUGGGGCAAUCAAAAAUUCAUGCCGUGACUUGGGAUUGGGGCUUGCAAUUGUUGUCCAUGAACGAGGAAUUCCCAGUAAGCGCAAUUCAUCAUAUUGCGUUGAUUACGUCCCUGCCCUUUGUACACACCGCCCGUCGCUACUACCGAUUGGAAGUUUUAGUGAGGCAUUUGGACUUGCUGCGUGUUGAAAGUUUCGGCUUUUGUGCGCGGCGGGGAAGUCUGUCGAACUCAAAUUUCUAGAGGAAGUAAAAGUCGUAACAAGGUUUCCGU